AUAAAGUAACUCCUCUUUUGUGCCUUUUCACAUAAUUUAAAGAUCAGAUCACGCGAAGCUUUGGCAAGUUAAGACCAAACUGAAAGAAGCUUAGACUUCCUCUUUACCAUGACCAAAGCACUUCUUACUGUUCUUUUGAUCGUGCUUGUUACUGGCGAUUUCAUAAAUGAAAUUGACGGGCUACUCCGUGCGGGCAGGGACCGUAUUGAGAACCUACCACGUGGCCUGGAUCAGUACGAAAGAGAGGCUGACGAAAUACGUGGACCCUCAGCUUACUUUAGACGAGACAGGGUCGAAAGGCAUCAGAAGUGAACAACAACUCAAAUGAAAAUCCAGCAAAAGAAGUAAAAUGGGUGUGCUUGCAAUUGUUUCGGUUGCAUGUACUUUAAAGUUUAAAAAUCAGAAAUACGAAAGAUGUAUCAGAAAUACGAAAAUAGUAAAGACAACGAGAUCUUCGCCAUGACACUAAAUGUGUGUUUGAAAGGCCAUUUUUAGCUAAAUAAAAGCUUUUAGCUGAAUAAAAAGCUUUUGAAGAAUA